rnacentral:rRNA from 1 species
UACGAAGGGGGCUAGCGUUAAUCGGAAUUACUGGGCGUAAAGGGUGCGCAGGCGGUUAUAUAAGACAGAUGUGAAAUCCCCGGGCUCAACCUGGGAACUGCGUUUGUGACUGUAUGACUAGAGUACGGUAGAGAGGGGUGGAAUUCCUGGUGUAGCAGUGAAAUGCGCAGAUAUCAGGAGGAACACCGGUGGCGAAGGCGGCUCACUGGUCCGGUACUGACGCUGGAGGUGCGAAAGCGUGGGGAGCAAACAGG